CUUCUCUGUCGGCGAGUGGCGAACGGGUGAGUAUAGCAUCGGAACGUGCCAAGUAGUGGGGGAUAACCAAACGAAAGUUUGGCUAAUACCGCGUAAGCUCCAAGGAGGAAAGUAGGGGACCUAAAUAAGGCCUUACGCUAUUUGAUCGGCCGAUGUCGGAUUAGCUAGUUGGUGGGGUAAUGGCUCACCAAGGCAAUGAUCCGUAGCGGGUCUGAGAGGACGAUCCGCCACACUGGGACUGAGACACGGCCCAG
rnacentral:rRNA from 1 species